rnacentral:rRNA from 1 species
GACGAACGCUGGCGGCGUGCUUAACACAUGCAAGUCGAACGGAAAGGCCCCCUUGUGGGGUACUCGAGUGGCGAACGGGUGAGUAACACGUGAGUAACCUACCCUUUACUUUGGGAUAACUUCAGGAAACUGGGGCUAAUACCGGAUAGGAGCUCCUGCUGCAUGGUGGGGGUUGGAAAGUUUCGGCGGUUGGGGAUGGACUCGCGGCUUAUCAGCUUGUUGGUGGGGUAGUGGCUCACCAAGGCUUUGACGGGUAGCCGGCCUGAGAGGGUGACCGGCCACAUUGGGACUGAGAUACGGCCCAGACGCCUACGGGAGGCAGCAGUGGGGAAUAUUGCACAAUGGGCGGAAGCCUGAUGCAGCAACGCCGCGUGCGGGAUGACGGCCUUCGGGUUGUAAACCGCUUUCGCCUGUGACGAAGCGUGAGUGACGGUAAUGGGGAAAGAAGCACCGGCUAACUACGU